ensembl:lncRNA novel transcript
UUUGAAAUUUCUGCCAGUUGGGUGGUGUCUGCGGCUGCUGCUGGGAAAAUGGGGAGUAGAGGCUUGCAGGUAGAUCAGCUGGAAUACAUGGCACAGGUGACACUGGAAUCCCUGACCUGCUAAUGAAUGAAAACAGGGCCUGAUGUCCACUGAGUUGAGCAACAGGGCCUUUGUUACUGCAAGGACGUUGUCCCCACCUCCGGCUGUGUUAGGAUCACAGAACACCUGUCACCAGGGAACAGAGCUUUUUCGCAGGUCCCUGAUGUUUGUAGCUGUGUGACCUUAGUCAACACGCUCAGCCUCUCUGAAAUGCAACAUCUGGGGGAAAAAAUGAAAGAAAAAUGAAGCAAAAAGAAGAAGAAGAAGAAGGAGGAGGAGGAAGAGGAGAAAGCAAAGUGAUGAGGUGGAGAAUGGACACUCUCUCUCCCUUCUGGCCACAACUCAAUUCCCCCAGGCUGUCUAAGUGCAUCCUACUUCUCCUUUGUCACAUUCAUCAGUCAUCACGUCACACUCAUUGUGAAGUAUUCUCAUUAUCAUUGCGUCUUGCAUGCCAGUAGACUGAAAGCU